rnacentral:rRNA from 1 species
UACGAAGGUCCCAAGCGUUGUUCGGAAUCACUGGGCUUAAAGGGCGCGUAGGCGGCUUGCCAAGUCAAUGGUGAAAUCCUCCGGCUUAACCGGAGAAGUGCCAAUGAUACUGGCGAGCUCGAGGGAGGUAGGGGCAGCUGGAACUUCUGGUGGAGCGGUGAAAUGCGUUGAUAUCAGAAGGAACGCCGGUGGCGAAAGCGAGCUGCUGGAUCUCUACUGACGCUGAGGCGCGAAAGCUAGGGGAGCAAACGGG